ACAUCCAUAAAAUUAUCAUCAGUUAGUAGAUUGUUAAAUGAAAAU
rnacentral:guide_RNA from 1 species